AGAGUUUCAUCCUGGCUCAGACGAACGCUGGCGGCGUGCUUAACACAUGCAAGUCGAACGGAGAAUUUAUUUCGGUAAAUUCUUAGUGGCGAACGGGUGAGUAACGCGUGGGCAACCUGCCCUCCAGUUGGGGACAACAUUCCGAAAGGAUGCUAAUACCGAAUGUGAUCCCUUUUCCGCAUGGAGAAGGGAUGAAAGAUGGCCUCUAUUUAUAAUAUCGCUGGAAGAUGGGCCUGCGUCUGAUUAGCUAGUUGGUGGGGUAACGGCUCACCAAGGCGAUGAUCAGUAGCCGGUCUGAGAGGAUGAACGGCCACAUUGGGACUGAGACACGGCCCAAACUCCUACGGAGGCAGCAGUGGGGAAUCUUCCGCAAUGGACGAAAGUCUGACGGAGCAACGCCGCGUGAGUGAUGAAGGUCUUCUGAUUGUAAAACUCUGUUGUCAGGGACGAAUGUGCGAACGUUGAAUAAGCGUUUGUAUUGACGGUACCUGACGAGGAAGCCACGGCUAACUACGUGCCAGCAGCCGCGGUAAUACGUAGGUGGCAAGCGUUGUCCGGAAUUAUUGGGCGUAAAGAGCAUGUAGGCGGGCUUUUAAGUCCGACGUGAAAAUGCGGGGCUUAACCCCGUAUGGCGUUGGAUACUGGAAGUCUUGAGUGCAGGAGAGGAAAGGGGAAUUCCCAGUGUAGCGGUGAAACGCGUAGAUAUUGGGAGGAACACCAGUGGCGAAGGCGCCUUUCUGGACUGUGUCUGACGCUGAGAUGCG
rnacentral:rRNA from 1 species